GACGUAGGGCGCGAGCGUUGUCCGGAUUUAUUGGGCGUAAAGAGCUCGUAGGCGGCUUGUCGCGUCGAAUGUGAAAUCUCAGGGCUCAACUCUGACAUUGCAUUCGAUACGGGCAGGCUAGAGUUCGGUAGGGGAGACUGGAAUUCCUGGUGUAGCGGUGAAAUGCGCAGAUAUCAGGAGGAACACCGGUGGCGAAGGCGGGUCUCUGGGCCGAUACUGACACUGAGGAGCGAAAGCCAGGGGAGCAAACGGG
rnacentral:rRNA from 1 species